rnacentral:rRNA from 1 species
UACGGAGGGUGCAAGCGUUAUCCGGAUUCACUGGGUUUAAAGGGUGCGUAGGCGGGCAGGUAAGUCAGUGGUGAAAUCCCCAAGCUUAACUUGGGAACUGCCAUUGAUACUAUCUGUCUUGAAUACCGUGGAGAUGAGCGGAAUAUGUCAUGUAGCGGUGAAAUGCUUAGAUAUGACAUAGAACACCAAUUGCGAAGGCAGCUUACUGGCCGAAUAUUGACACUGAGGCACGAAAGCGUGGGGAGCAAACAGG